GCGAACAAGUACCGUGAGGNANAGUUGAAAAGAACUUUGAAGAGAGAGUUCAAGAGUACGUGAAACCGUUCAGGGGUAAACCUGUGAAACCCAAAAGAUCGAAUGAGGAGAUUCAUCGUCAGCGUAAUCAGUAUUAAUGCAGGCUAUGAUGUGAUAAUAGAAUCCUCGUGGUCACUAGAUUAUACUUGCUUGUGUUAUUUUUGCUGGGUGCGUCGGCGUGCACUUCUCCUCUAGUAGAACGUCGCAACCCGUUGGAUGUUUAUCUAUGGCCUGAUUGGUAGCCUUUGAUAUAAUUUUAUAUUGAAGACCUUUUGGUGUCCUGAUAAACUGUCUGACGGUAUAC
rnacentral:rRNA from 1 species